GAAUUUUCCUGAACCUCCCCUCCUCACAGGUCCAACAAGAUACUUGUGUGAUUCCAUAAAGGAAACCUGCUGUGAAGAAAAGAAUAAUAUUGACAUGUUACUAGCUAUUUGAAAACAGUUUAGAGGAAAAAGAAAAUAACAAGAAAGGGAGAGAAAGGUAUGUUUUGUACGUAGUUGCAAUUACCAGUGUGUGAAGAUGUUGAGUCUAUA
rnacentral:lncRNA from 12 species